UAGCGGCACCCGAGGCCACGCCCCAAAUCGGAAGUGACGGAGACGAGCUAGCGCGUCGAAGCUACCUCUAUGGUUUUCCUCUCGUUCUCGAGUCGGGAAAUGGCCGCUGUGUAGUUACAACGGAGAUAAAUCCCGGGAACCGUGCUUCAGCGUAUUAGGAGUUUGAAUUUAGAGUUUAAUUUCUCAGAAAACGUCUCUUCAGGAAGAACUUUACAGAAUCUCAAAACUUCUUAUCUUCGUGCAUAAAACCCCAGGUUGUAUAUUUGCUUCUUCCACUUCUAUAAAAACCUCUACUAAACGAUUCAGAACAUAAAAAGCAAAUUAAAAUCAAAGCAAGACAAAAAGACCCUGCUGUUUAACCCAUCUUCCCUAAUGCAAACAAGAGGAGUUCCAUAACUUAACUUUCCCCCCCCUCUACUUUGGUGUUAAGGAGAAAAGAAAUGGGUCGUUCCAAUUCUAGAUCACACUCUUCAAGAUCAAAGUCUAGAUCACAGUCUAGUUCUCGAUCAAGAUCAAGAUCACACUCUAGAAAGAAGAGAUACAGUUCUAGGUCUCGUUCCAGGACAUAUUCAAGAUCUCGUAGUAGAGAUCGUAUUUAUUCUAGAGAUUAUCGUCGAGAUUACAGAAAUAAUAGAGGAAUGAGACGACCUUAUGGGUACAGAGGAAGGGGUAGAGGGUAUUAUCAAGGAGGAGGAGGUAGAUACCAUCGAGGUGGUUAUAGACCUGUCUGGAAUAGAAGGCACUCUAGGAGUCCUAGACGAGGUCGUUCGCGUUCCAGGAGUCCAAAACGAAGAUCCGUUUCUUCUCAGAGGUCCCGGAGCAGAUCUCGCCGGUCAUAUAGAUCCUCUAGGUCUCCAAGAUCAUCAUCAUCUCGUUCUUCAUCCCCAUAUAGCAAAUCUCCUGUCUCUAAAAGACGAGGGUCUCAGGAAAAACAAACCAAAAAAGCUGAAGGGGAACCCCAAGAAGAGAGUCCUUUGAAAAGCAAAUCACAGGAGGAAACGAAAGAUACGUUUGAACAUGAUCCAUCUGAAUCUAUUGAUGAGUUUAAUAAAUCAGCCACAUCUGGUGAUAUUUGGCCUGGCCUUUCAGCUUAUGAUAAUAGUCCCAGAUCACCCCAUAGUCCUUCACCUAUUGCUACACCACCUAGUCAGAGUUCAUCUUGCUCAGAUGCCCCUAUGCUUAGUACAGUUCAUUCUGCAAAAAAUACUCCCUCUCAGCAUUCGCAUUCCAUUCAGCAUAGCCCUGAAAGGUCUGGCUCUGGUUCUGUUGGAAAUGGAUCUAGUAGGUACAGUCCUUCUCAGAACAGUCCGAUUCAUCAUAUCCCUUCACGAAGAAGUCCUGCAAAGACAAUCACACCACAGAAUGCUCCCAGAGAUGAGGCUAGGGGACGUUCCUCAUUUUAUCCUGAUGGAGGAGAUCAGGAAACUGCAAAGACUGGGAAAUUCUUAAAAAGGUUCACAGAUGAAGAGUCUAGAGUAUUCCUGCUUGAUAGGGGUAAUACCAGGGAUAAAGAGGCUCCAAAGGAGAAAGGAUCAGAGAAAGGGAGGGCAGAGGGAGAAUGGGAAGAUCAGGAAGCUCUAGAUUACUUCAGUGAUAAAGAGUCUGGAAAACAAAAGUUUAAUGAUUCAGAAGGGGAUGACACAGAGGAGACAGAGGAUUAUAGACAGUUCAGGAAGUCAGUCCUCGCAGAUCAGGGUAAAAAUUUUGCUACUGCAUCUCACCGGAAUACUGAGGAGGAAGGACCCAAGUACAAGUCCAAAGUUUCACUGAAAGGCAAUAGAGAAAGUGAUGGAUUUAGAGAAGAAAAAAAUUAUAAACUUAAAGAGACUGGAUACGUAGUGGAAAGGCCUAGCACUACAAAAGAUAAGCACAAGGAAGACGACAAAAAUUCUGAAAGAAUAACAGUAAAGAAAGAAACUCAGUCACCUGAGCAGGUAAAAUCUGAAAAGCUCAAAGACCUCUUUGAUUACAGUCCCCCUCUACACAAGAAUCUGGAUGCACGAGAAAAGUCUACCUUCAGAGAGGAGAGCCCACUUAGGAUCAAAAUGAUAGCCAGUGAUUCUCAUCGUCCUGAAGUCAAACUCAAAAUGGCACCUGUUCCUCUUGAUGAUUCUAACAGACCUGCAUCCUUGACUAAAGACAGGCUACUUGCUAGUACACUUGUCCAUUCUGUCAAGAAGGAGCAAGAGUUCCGAUCCAUCUUUGACCACAUUAAGUUGCCUCAGGCCAGCAAAAGCACUUCAGAGUCAUUUAUACAACACAUUGUGUCCUUGGUUCAUCAUGUUAAAGAGCAAUACUUCAAAUCUGCUGCGGUGACCCUAAACGAGCGGUUCACUUCGUAUCAGAAAGCCACUGAAGAACAUAGUACCCGGCAAAAGAGCCCUGAGAUACACAGGAGAAUCGACAUCUCUCCAAGUGCCCUGAGGAAGCAUACCCGUUUAGCAGGGGAAGAGAGAGUUUUUAAAGAAGAAAAUCAGAAGGGAGAUAAAAAAUUAAGGUGUGAUUCUGCUGAUCUUCGGCAUGACAUUGAUCGCCGUAGAAAAGAAAGAAGUAAAGAACGGGGGGAUUCCAAGGGCUCCAGGGAAUCCAGUGGAUCAAGAAAGCAAGAAAAAACUCCCAAAGAUUACAAGGAAUACAAAUCUUACAAAGAUGACAGCAAAAAUGUAUUUGUCUUUUACACGGCUUAUGGUGGAUGAGGACAAAAACUUUGGAAUAGCAAGCUAACACUGAAAAAAAAAAUGACAAAUUAAUGUGUCCUAUUAUCCAGGCUACAUCAGGAGGUUGGACUUCAAUGCAGUGCAUUUCUAGAAACAGUUUGUUAAACAUAAAAGUAGAGAGCAAGAUCAUUCUCGAUCUUCGUCCUCUUCAGCAUCACCUUCUUCUCCCAGUUCUCGAGAAGAAAAGGAGAGUAAGAAGGAAAGAGAAGAAGAAUUUAAAACCCAUCAUGAAAUGAAAGAAUACUCAGGCUUUGCAGGAGUUAGCCGACCACGGGGAACCUUUUUUCGAAUUAGAGGCAGAGGAAGAGCCAGAGGAGUUUUUGCUGGGACAAAUACUGGUCCAAACAACUCAAAUACUACUUUUCAAAAGAGACCGAAGGAAGAGGAAUGGGAUCCAGAAUAUACCCCAAAGAGCAAGAAGUACUUCUUGCAUGAUGACAGAGAUGAUGGUGUGGAUUAUUGGGCCAAAAGAGGAAGAGGUCGUGGUACUUUUCAGCGUGGCAGAGGGCGCUUUAAUUUCAAAAAAUCAGGUAGCAGUCCAAAAUGGACUCAUGAUAAAUACCAAGGGGAUGGAAUUGUUGAAGAUGAAGAAGAGUCCAUGGAAAAUAAUGAAGAAAAGAAGGAGAGACGUAAAGAAGAAAAGGAAUAGUGUAUCUGAAGUAAAUUGGCAACAGAGAGCAGAACUUGCACCCACCAUUUUUUUUUUACCUGAUUUUUGUUUCAGAUAAGAAUGUAAGCAUUUUACUUAAAUUUUACUGUUUGCAAGUAGUCUAUAGAAAUUUUGUUUUAAGUCUUCAAAUAUCUUGAAAAAUAGUAGACUGUAUGUUGAAAAUUGUACUGAAAUAAAGUAGAAAAUUGUUAACGUUCCAUAUUUGUAACUAUCAACUUUUAAAAAAAAAUCUUUUACUGUUUUUGUUACAUGCAUUGUAAUUCUGCUUUGUCUAUAAGAUAUGGUCAAGUACAACUCUGUGAAAGUUCUGAUUCUCUUCCCUCCCUGUUUGUUAAUGUUUUAUUCUGAAGUAAACGUUAGCUCUACAUUACAAAUCCCUGAACAGAAAUUGUUUAUAGUGACCACACUAAUUAUUUUAACUGUAUACAUCUGUUUAACAUCUUCCUUAAUUCGAACACUACAUUGUAGGGUGGCUAAUUUUUGAUGUAUACCAUAAAGUUGUUCUUUUGGUAAACUAUGCUAGUUUCACACUUCAGCAAAUGUUUAAAGAAGGCAGGAAAGGUUUGCCAGUGACUAAAAAGUACAAACUAUUAGAUUGAAAGGUUUGAGAAAAUGUUAUUUUUACUGAAAGCAAGCAGUGGCCUAUAAAAACACAUUUUUACAAGUCUUUCCUAUUUUAGUUUAAAAUUCAUUGUUUUCUUUUUAUUCUUAUUUGAUAGUUUGAGUCAUGGUCUUAGAUACCAGCUAUUUGAGAGAAAACUGAUUUGUAAUAAUAUUGCAAGUAAAACUCCGAGUACCACAGAACAUCUUAGUUUAAGGAAAUCACAAAAACAACAAAACCUGUAAUCCUGGUGUUGGUAUGGAGGAGGAUUCCUGCAGAAUAAAUUUGAUGCGUUAGUAUAUAUUUCACAGCUUACAUAUUUAUUUGUGCUUUUGAACAGCUGAAAAUUAGUUUGUAGUGUGACUAUAAGAAAAUAAGACACACAGCAUAUUGUUUCUUGGUACUUUAAGUAACCUGUUUUUCUAAUGUCACCAAUAAAAGGUUUUGGCAAUGUUGUAGCAUUGAUCUACCUUGGUUUUUAUUUUAUUUUUUCCUCCUUUUCAGUUGCAGUUGGUAAAAUGGCUUUUUCUUUUACUUUCUAUGGGUUCUAUUCUUCAGAUAGAGAUGAUCUUUCAAAUGUAAAUUACUUUCUAUGUUUAUGUUAAUAGCUUUUUUUAAAGGAAUGAAAAUUUGAAAUGGGUACACUUGCCAGUGAUUUUGUUUUUUCAACAUACAUAAAGCUAGCACAUUUCAUUUUAAUUCAGCAUCUGAAUUAGUUGUAUAUGUUUACAUUUGAAGAAGAUAAUGCUUCUGUUAUAAAAUUUUAAAGAUCUUAAGUAUAUGGCUCUUUCAUCCUCAAUUUUGAUGAUUUGCAGUGUGUCUAGCACCUUGAUUACUGCCAGGGACUUUGCUAAGAGCUAUUGGAAACUAAACUAAAACCAAAGUCAGUAUAUAUUUGUGGCCUAAACUCCUUGGUAUUGCAUGAUUUCUCACUUUAAUUUUGUCUUUCUGAAAUUGUCUAGUUAUACAGGAUAUGCCUGCAUAAGUAACUUUGUGUUGCUUUAAUCAGGAUACAAUUAAUAAAUCUCUAUUCAGCUUUAAUGCUUAUUAAAGCAACAUGGAUUUGAUCCUCCAGUAGAGAAUUUUCAUGAUUGUUCUGUUUUGUAUAAGUAUAUAAAACUUUUUAUCUUAACUGUUUGUUAUUUUACUAGACACCAAAUCCCUCUUUAUAAUUGUGCAGUUUUGCUUUUCUGCUUAAGACAGAGAAAAUGGGAUUUGCUGAGAAGUUAUUUAAUAGGGAGAUAAAUUGGAAAUAAAACUGCUUAAGGUCCUAUGGGCAGGUUACAUUCUAAGUGCAAAUGCAUUGCUUUAAUCUUUGGUUACUUUUAUUAACUUAAAAAAACUUUGAAGGAAGAGUAUCCUACCAGAAUAUAUAGUAGGAUAGGGUGAUUCUGAGAACUCUGACAUAGAACACCAUUAUGGAUGUUUAUUUUUUACAGAGCCAAGCAUAUAAAAAGUGGUCUGUUUAUUUUUUUAAACCACAAUUUAACUUUACACUUUAUGACAUGUUAUUAAAGCUGAAUGAUUCCUCUUGGUAAGGAUAUUUGUUUAUGAGUGCCAGGAAAUAACUCUUUGAUACUUGCAUUAACAAACUUCCUUUUGCCUAGAGAAGGGAAAUAAAAACGAACCAAAGGAUAUUUCCAGAAAAAAAUAAGAAAGCUGUUUAAGAAGGCCAUGACUCAGUUCCUAGGUGUGUAUACUUUUCAGCAUCCUAGGAAUUUUAAUAUAAAAAGUAAAAUAUGUUUUUCAAAUUGCAGUCUUCUUGCUGUUGUUCCCCUUUGUCACAGUUAAAAUCAGCGUUGGGAGUUAAAUUAUAAUUUGAGAGAAAAUAUUACCCAAUAAGAAUGAAUGUAGAUGGUUAAACGAUUCUUACUCAGUGUGAUGUAUCAUGAUGCAUCAGGGACCCUUGUAAAUUGUCAUAUGCCAAUAAAAUGUCAUAAGUGGUAA